rnacentral:rRNA from 1 species
GACGAACGCUGGCGGCGUGCUUAACACAUGCAAGUCGAACGAUGAAGCCCAGCUUGCUGGGUGGAUUAGUGGCGAACGGGUGAGUAACACGUGAGCAACCUGCCCCUGACUCUGGGAUAAGCGCUGGAAACGGCGUCUAAUACUGGAUAUGUCCCGUCACCGCAUGGUGUGCGGGUGGAAAGAUUUUUCGGUUGGGGAUGGGCUCGCGGCCUAUCAGCUUGUUGGUGAGGUAAUGGCUCACCAAGGCGUCGACGGGUAGCCGGCCUGAGAGGGUGACCGGCCACACUGGGACUGAGACACGGCCCAGACUCCUACGGGAGGCAGCAGUGGGGAAUAUUGCACAAUGGGCGAAAGCCUGAUGCAGCAACGCCGCGUGAGGGAUGACGGCCUUCGGGUUGUAAACCUCUUUUAGCAGGGAAGAAGCGAAAGUGACGGUACCUGCAGAAAAAGCACCGGCUAACUCCGGGCCAGCCGCCGCGGUAAUAC